UACGUAGGGGGCUAGCGUUGUCCGGAAUCAUUGGGCGUAAAGCGCGUGUAGGCGGUCCGGUAAGUCCGCUGUGAAAGUCGGGGGCUCAACCCUCGAAUGCCGGUGGAUACUGUCGAGCUAGAGUGCGGAAGAGGCGAGUGGAAUUCCUGGUGUAGCGGUGAAAUGCGCAGAUAUCAGGAGGAACACCAAUUGCGAAGGCAGCUCGCUGGGACGUCACUGACGCUGAGACGCGAAAGCGUGGGGAGCAAACAGG
rnacentral:rRNA from 1 species